rnacentral:rRNA from 1 species
UGAUCGGCAGCUGUGUUCAACUCGCACCAUGGUGGUUGGCGGCAUAGAACAGAUGAACUCGAUGACUGUACUAUAUAGGUGACCAUGCGACGCUGCGGGACCUCCACGUGAUGUCAAGGAAUGUCUGGGGCCUGCGCUAUGAGGUCAUAUAAUAAAUGGUGGUCGGGAUUGAGGUUGUAGUUUGGUCAGCAUCUGCAACGGCAACUGCUUGUGCAUGUCCAUCCGCAACUAUGGCUAAGUGCAGAUCGAGAUCAGUACGUGUUCCCUUUUCACUGUUGGCUCCAGCAACACGGUGCGCUAUCAUGGGAGCCUGUGUGUAUCUCCGGUAGCAGUCCUGAGGUUGUGAGGAGUGGUGGCUGUUGGACCCCAUUACAGUAGAGUAGAGUUACCCUUUUCCCUCUGCCCACCUUGAGUGUGCGGCCGACACUGACGCUGAUGUUUGAACACAGCGCUUUUCACUUCCAGAUCUCAGCUUAAGCAAGAGGACCCGCCGAAUUUAAGCAUAUAAUUAAGCGGAGGAAAAGAAACUAACCAGGAUUCCCUCAGUAAGGGCGACUGAAGCGGGAAGAGCUCAGGAUGUGAAUCUGCGCCUCGUUGCGCCGAAUUGUGGUCUGUCGACGGUGGCAUUACUGGCCGGGCCAAGUCCUUUGGAACAAGGCAGCUGAGAGGGUGAGACUCCCGUCCGCCUGGCUGGGUGAGCCACUAGUCUACGAGUCGAGUUGUUUGGGAUUGCAGCUCCAAGUGGGUGGUAAAUUCCAUCUAAAGCUAAAUAUUGGUGGGAGACCGAUAGCGUACAAGUACCGUGAGGGAAAGAUGCAAAGAACUUUGAAAAGAGAGUUAAAGAGUACCUGAAAUUGCUGAAAGGGAAGCGAAGGAAACCAGUGUCGGCUCAGUCAUAUUUCCCUGUCCGCUUGCGGUUUGGGCGCUGUGUCUGGCCUGUGUCGUCCUUGGUUGGGUCUGCUGGAAGAGCGCAGUGAGAGUUGAUCUCUGUUGCUAGCAGCGGGUCUGACUGAGGAGGACGAAACGAAAAUGAAAA